rnacentral:rRNA from 1 species
UACGUAGGGGGCAAGCGUUGUCCGGAAUCAUUGGGCGUAAAGCGCGUGUAGGCGGUCCGGUAAGUCCGCUGUGAAAGUCGGGGGCUCAACCCUCGGAUGCCGGUGGAUACUGUCGGGCUAGAGUGCGGAAGAGGCGAGUGGAAUUCCUGGUGUAGCGGUGAAAUGCGCAGAUAUCAGGAGGAACACCAAUGGCGAAGGCAGCUCGCUGGGACGUGACUGACGCUGAGACGCGAAAGCGUGGGGAGCAAACAGG